GACGAACGCUGGCGGCGUGCUUAACACAUGCAAGUCGAACGGAAAGGCCCUGCUUUUGUGGGGUGCUCGAGUGGCGAACGGGUGAGUAACACGUGAGUAACCUGCCCUUGACUUUGGGAUAACUUCAGGAAACUGGGGCUAAUACCGGAUAGGAGCUCCUGCUGCAUGGUGGGGGUUGGAAAGUUUCGGCGGUUGGGGAUGGACUCGCGGCUUAUCAGCUUGUUGGUGGGGUAGUGGCUUACCAAGGCUUUGACGGGUAGCCGGCCUGAGAGGGUGACCGGCCACAUUGGGACUGGGAUACGGCCCAGACUCCUACGGGAGGCAGCAGUGGGGAAUAUUGCACAAUGGGCGGAAGCCUGAUGCAGCAACGCCGCGUGCGGGAUGACGGCCUUCGGGUUGUAAACCGCUUUCGCCUGUGACGAAGCGUGAGUUACGGUAAUGGGUAAAGAAGCACCGGCUAACUACGUG
rnacentral:rRNA from 1 species